rnacentral:rRNA from 1 species
CGUAAGGGCUCGCAGGCGGUUUCUUAAGUCUGAUGUGAAAGCCCCCGGCUCAACCGGGGAGGGUCAUUGGAAACUGGGAAACUUGAGUGCAGAAGAGGAGAGUGGAAUUCCACGUGUAGCGGUGAAAUGCGUAGAGAUGUGGAGGAACACCAGUGGCGAAGGCGACUCUCUGGUCUGUAACUGACGCUGAGGAGCGAAAGCGUGGGGAGCGAACAGGAUUAGAUACCCUGGUAGUCCACGCCGUAAACGAUGAGUGCUAAGUGUUAGGGGGUUUCCGCCCCUUAGUGCUGCAGCUAACGCAUUAAGCACUCCGCCUGGGGAGUACGGUCGCAAGACUGAAACUCAAAGGAAUU